CUAUUUUAAUUAUUUAACAAUUUUUUGUAAUUUAUAAUAGAUUUGAUAAUUCUGUCCGUGUUAUUCACGAGAUUAAUAGAAUCGUAAAUAACCAUUGGAGAGGAUACUCGAUGAGUUAUACAAGCACUCCAGCACCGACAAGAGAGCUAUGGUGGAGUGAAUUUAAGCGAUCAUUCACUUGGGACAUGAUUGAUGAGAUGGAAA